UACGAAGGGUGCAAACGUUGCUCGGAAUUAUUGGGCGUAAAGCGCACGGUAGGCGGCGCUGCAAGUCCCAUGUGAAAGCCCACGGCUUAACCGUGGAAGUGCAUGGGAAACUGCAGUGCUUGAGUACUUAAGAGGAUCGCGGAAAUUCCCGGUGUAGAGGUGAAAUUCGUAGAUAUCGGGAGGAACACCAGUGGCGAAGGCGGCGAUCUGGGAAGAUACUGACGCUGAGGUGCGAAAGCGUGGGGAGCAAACAGG
rnacentral:rRNA from 1 species